rnacentral:lncRNA from 1 species
CGCUUGCUGAUCAGAUUCUUGCCAUCCCGGUGCCUAUCCAUUGGACAUAGGAUCUAAGGGUGUGGGACAGUUUAUGCUGUCCUAAGGCCCCUAUGAGGGAUCUUUUCGUAAUUAGCGGGACUAUGCCACACAAGAGGAUGGAGGCUGCUUGGAUCUAAAGAGUGGUUGCUCAUCCCAAAGUGAGGCUAUUCAUUUAGAAGGUUGCUUGGAAUCGGCUUCCGACCCAUAUUUUACUCAGGGA